rnacentral:rRNA from 1 species
ACAAAAAGUAAGUAAGGGCACAUGGCGGAUGCCUUGGCUCUCGGAGGCGAUGAAGGACGUGAUAAGCUGCGAUAAGCUGCGGGUAGGUGCAAAUGACCUUUGAUCCGCGGAUUUCCGAAUGGGACAACCCGAUACUUUGAAGAAGUAUCAUCCUGCAUUGCAGGAGGCUAACGCAGGGAACUGAAACAUCUUAGUACCUGCAGGAAAAGAAAAUAAACAAUGAUUCCCCCAGUAGUGGCGAGCGAACGGGGAAUAGCCCAAACCAUCCAUGUUACGGCAUGGGUGGGGUUGUAGGACCACGCCGUGGCAAGAAAGUUGGUGAGCAGAAUGUUCUGGAAAGUACAGCCAUAGAGCAUGACAGCUGCGUAUGCGAAGCCAAGCGAAGCCUAGUGGUAUCCUGAGUAGCGCGGAGCACGAGGAAUUCUGCGUGAAUCUGCCGGGACCAUCCGGUAAGGCUAAAUACUCCCGAGAGACCGAUAGUGAACCAGUACUGUGAAGGAAAGGUGAAAAGCACUUCGAACAGAAGAGUGAAAUAGUUCCUGAAACCAUGUGCCUACAAGCGGUCGGAGCACCUUCUGGUGUGACGGCGUGCCUUUUGCAUAAUGAACCUACGAGUUACUUUUUCCGGCGAGGUUAAGGAUUUCAGAUCUGCAGCCGAAGCGAAAGCGAGUCUGAACAGGGCGUAUAGUCGGAAGGAGUAGACGCGAAACCAAGUGAUCUACCCUUGGGCAGGUUGAAGGAUGGGUAACACCAUCUGGAGGACCGAACCAAUAAGCGUUGAAAAGCUUCUGGAUGACCUGAGGGUGGGGGUGAAAGGCUAAUCAAACUUGGAGAUAGCUCGUACUCCCCGAAAUGCAUUUAGGUGCAGCCUUGACUUAUACUGGCAUGAGGUAGAGCGACUGAUAAGAUGCGAGGGCUUCACCGCCUAUCAAGUCUUGACAAACUCCGAAUGCGUGUCAGUUCUAUGUCAGGAGUGAGGGCAUGGGUGCUAAGGUCCAUGUCCUAAAGGAGAACAAUCCGGACCAACAGCUAAGGUCCCGAAAUGAAUACUAAGUUGAACUAACGAAGUCAGAUUGCUAAGACAGCUAGGAUGUUGGCUUGGAAGCAGCCAUUCAUUUAAAGAGUGCGUAACAGCUCACUAGUCGAGGAGUUUGGCGUGGAUAAUAAUCGGGCAUAAGUAUUCUACCGAAGCUUUGGGAUGAGAAAUCAUCGGUAGGGGAGCAUUCCACUCGGCGUCGAAGGUGAGGCGUGAGCCUUGCUGGAGCGUGUGGAAAAGCAAAUGUAGGUAUAAGUAACGAUAAGGCAGGCGAGAAACCUGCCCGCCGAAAGACUAAGGUUUCCUGAUCAACGCUAAUCGGAUCAGGGUAAGUCGGGUCCUAAGGCUCAGCCGAACGGCGAGGCCGAUGGCAGAACCGGUUAAUAUUCCGGUACUACCUGUGGGAGUGACGUGGAGACGGAGUCGUGACAGCGCCGCGGACUGACGGAAUAGUCCGUUGAAGGGUGUAGAUGCUGAUUGUUCCAGGCAAAUCCGGAGCAAGAGUCGAACCUGAUAGUAUGGAGCGUUCUUAGAACAAUCCAAUAGUGCGUGUAAUCAUACUUCCAAGAAAAUCCGCUAAACUUAAUCCUGCAGGUACCCGUACCGCAAACGGACACACGUAGUCGGGUUGAAUAUACUAAGGCGCUUGAGUGAUUCACGGUUAAGGAACUAGGCAAACUGACCCUGUAACUUCGGGAUAAAGGGUCCUCGCUUAACGGCGAGGCGCAGAGAAUAGGUCCAGGCAACUGUUUAACAAAAACACAGGGCUGUGCAAAAUUGAAAGAUGAAGUAUACAGCCUGACACCUGCCCGGUGCUGGAAGGUUAAGAGGAGAUGUCAUCGCAAGAGAAGCAUUGAAUUGAAGCCCCAGUAAACGGCGGCCGUAACUAUAACGGUCCUAAGGUAGCGAAAUUCCUUGUCGGGUAAGUUCCNNNNNNNNNNGCGGCCGUAACUAUAACGGUCCUAAGGUAGCGAAAUUCCUUGUCGGGUAAGUUCCGACCUGCACGAAUGGUGUAAUGAUCUGGACGCUGUCUCAACCGUGAGCUCAGUGAAAUUGUAGUAUCGGUGAAGAUGCCGAUUACCCGCGAUGGGACGAAAAGACCCCGUGAACCUUUACUAUAGCUUAACAUUGAAUUUGGGUAAUUGAUGUGUAGGAUAGGCCGGAGGCUUUGAAGCGGGCACGCCAGUGUCCGUGGAGCCGCUGUUGAAAUACGGCCCUUUGAUUAUUUGAGUUCUAACCCGUUGUUGCGGGGACACUGUUUGGUGGGUAGUUUGACUGGGGUGGUCGCCUCCAAAAGUGUAACGGAGGCUUCUAAAGGUGCCCUCACGACGAUUGGUAACCGUCGGCAGAGUGUAAUGGCAUAAGGGCGCUUGACUGGGAGACUUACAAGUCGAUCAGGUAGGAAACUAGAGCAUAGUGAUCCGGUGUUUCUGUAUGGAAAGGACAUCGCUCAAAGGAUAAAAGGUACUCCGGGGAUAACAGGCUGAUCCCUCCCAAGAGCUCAUAUCGACGGAGGGGUUUGGCACCUCGAUGUCGGCUCGUCACAUCCUGGGGCUGGAGAAGGUCCCAAGGGUUGGGCUGUUCGCCCAUUAAAGUGGCACGCGAGCUGGGUUCAGAACGUCGUGAGACAGUUCGGUCUCUAUCUAUCGUGGGCGCAUGAAAUUUGCGUGGCUCUGACACUAGUACGAGAGGACCGUGUUGGACUGACCUCUGGUUUACCGGUUGUGCCGCCAGGUGCAUUGCCGGGUAUCUAAGUCGGGAUUGGAUAAGUGCUGAAAGCAUCUAAGUACGAAGCCAGCCACAAGAUUAGAUUUCUCAGGGUCGUUGUAGACUACAANNNNNNNNNNAAGCAUCUAAGUACGAAGCCAGCCACAAGAUUAGAUUUCUCAGGGUCGUUGUAGACUACAACGUUGAUAGGAUGCAGGUGUACAGGCAGCGAUGUCAUAGCUGAGCAUUACUAAUUGCCCGUCCACUUUUUGCCU